rnacentral:rRNA from 1 species
UACGAAGGGAGCUAGCGUUGUUCGGAAUUACUGGGCGUAAAGGGCGCGUAGGCGGUCCGGCAAGUCAGAUGUGAAAGCCCUGGGCUUAACCCGGGAAUUGCGUUUGAUACUGCCGGUCUUGAAUUCGGGAGAGGUGAGUGGAAUUCCCAGUGUAGAGGUGAAAUUCGUAGAGAUUGGGAAGAACACCCGUGGCGAAGGCGGCUCACUGGACCGACAUUGACGCUGAGGCGCGAAAGCGUGGGGAG